AGUCCAAAGUAAGGACAAUUUUUCCCAAGUGAUUGAGUGGAGCAGCAAAUGCCUGUGAAAAUAGUAGAUAUAAAAAUAUCAGCAAGAGCCAAAAUUACAAGACUGUUUCUGAAAAUAUUCCGAAAGAAUGUUUAGAAAACAUCUUUUUCCAGGUAGACAGAGAGUUUGUGAGGCUGCAUCAUUGGCAUCAUUUUAUCAUCACCAUCCCGCUCAGGAGCUCAAGAAGAGGGGAACUGAGUCAGUUAGAAUUACAGAGAAAAAAACAUAGUAUAUAUAAGGUUCUGGAGCUGAAAAAUACAAUGAACAAAGUGAAAAGUGAAACAGAGACUAUCAGCAGCAGAAUUAGUCAAGCAAAAGAAAGAAUCUGCAAAAUUGAAGAUGAGUUAUUUGAAAAUAUACAGUGAGAAGAGGAAAAAGAAAACCAUUUUUAAAAAUGAAGAAAGCUUACAGGAAUUAUGAGACAGCAUCAACAGACCAAAAGUUUGAGUCACUGGCAUUUUGCUUUCUCAUAAUGAGUAUUUGCUUAUAAUUUGUUGUAAGGGUGAUAAUAAUUUCAGUUGGAGCCUCACUGGUAACCUUGCUCAGCCACACGACUGGAAUGUAAGAGGCUGGGGCAUUUUGGACAGCACAGAUGUUAAACGUGAACACUACCUUCUCAGUAGCACAAAUCUGACUACAUCUUUAAGUCUCCAAGAAACAGUUGAAGGAAAUGACUUUUAAAAGAAAAAGAGAAACAACUUCAUAUCUGUGUCUCAUCAAAUUCACAUCAUUCAUUAAUCUGGCUACACAUUGUGUUUUCUGAUGUGAAGUCACAGUGGAAAUGGAACUGCUGAUUAGGGAAGGCACAGAAUAAUUUUGAGGAACAUGAGGACAUGAGCAAUAGAGGAAACCUGGAGGAAGAGGGUGUGGCAUGUUGAAAUUUAAAAAGAAGCAAUGUGUAUUUGCAAGUCAAACCAAUAUAAUAAAA
rnacentral:lncRNA from 10 species